rnacentral:rRNA from 1 species
AGUGAACGCUGGCGGUAUGCCUAACACAUGCAAGUCGAACGGCAACACAGUAAGCGCUUGCCCUUACGGGUGGCGAGUGGCGGACGGGUGAGGCAUACAUCACCAUCUACUUUUUCUGGGGGGAUAACGUAGGGAAACUUAUGCUAAUACCUCAUACGUCCUACGGCUGAAAGCAGGGGUUCUUCACACCUUUCGCGAUUGAUAUAGACGGUGCCGCAUUAGCUAGUUGGUUGGGUAAGGGCCCACCAAGGCGACGAUCCGUAGCUGAUCUGAGAGGAUGAUCAGCCACACUGGAACUGAGACACGGUCCAGACUCCUACGGGAGGCAGCAGUAGGGAAUCUUGGGCAAUGGGCGAAAGCCUGAUGCAGCAAUACCGCGUGGGUGAAGAAGGCCUUCGGGUUGUAAAGCCCUUUUGUUGGGAAAGAAAAGCAGCGGGUUAAUACCCGGACGUUCUGACGGUACCCAAAGAGAAAGCACCGGCUAACUUCGUG